GACGAAACGCUGGCGGCGUGCCUAAUAACAAUGCAAGUCGAGCGAGCUUGCCUAGAUGAUUUUAGUGCUUGCACUAAAUGAAACUAGAUACAAGCGAGCGGCGGACGGGUGAGUAACACGUGGGGUAACCUGCCCAAGAGACUGGGAUAACACCUGGAAACAGAUGCUAAUACCGGAUAACAACACUAGACGCAUGUCUAGAAUUUGAAAGAUGUUUCUGCUAUCACUCUUGGAUGGACCUGCGGUGCAUUAGCUAGUUGGUAAGGUAACGGCUUACCAAGGCAAUGAUGCAUAGCCGAGUUGAGAGACUGAUCGGCCACAUUGGGACUGAGACACGGCCCAAACUCCUACGGGAAGCAGCAGUAGGGAAUCUUCCACAAUGGACGAAAGUCUG
rnacentral:rRNA from 1 species